rnacentral:lncRNA from 1 species
AAUCUCUAUCGCGAGAUACUACGCCUACGCUGAGAAGUGCUGCGAUCACUCGUCCACCGUGACGCCGUCAUCCAGCUCCACAUUGCAGCCCGCCGCUCUGAGCUCGCGUAUCUCUGCCGGCACGCUCGUCAGCUUGUUGUCGUCGAGGUACAACUUCUCCAGCGACCUGAGCUGCCCGAUCUCUGCCGGCACGCUCGUCAGCUCGUUGUCGUCGAGGAACAACUCUGUCAGCAACGUCAGCUGCCCGAUCUCCGCCGGCACACUCGUCAGCUGAUUGCCGUAGAGGUACAAACUCUUCAGCGAUGUGAGCUGCCCGACCUCCGCCGGCACGCUCGUCAGCUCAUUGUCUCUGAGGCUCAACACC